rnacentral:rRNA from 1 species
AUGUUUCAUUCAAAUUUCUGCCCUAUCAACUUUCGACGGUAGGGUAGUGGCCUACCGUGGUGGUAACGGGUGACGGAGGAUUAGGGUUCGAUUCCGGAGAGGGAGCCUGAGAAACGGCUACCACAUCCAAGGAAGGCAGCAGGCGCGCAAAUUACCCAAAUCCCAACUCGGGGAGGUAGUGACAAGAAAUAACGAUGCUCCGACCUAUGGUCGGGUAAUCGGAAUGAGAACAAUUUAAAUCCCUUAUCGAGGAUCAAUUGGAGGGCAAGUCUGGUGCCAGCAGCCGCGGUAAUUCCAGCUCCAAUAGCGUAUAUUUAAGUUGCUGCGGUUAAAAAGCUCGUAGUCGGAUUUCGGGUGGUUCCUGCCGGUCCGCCUCUGGUGUGUACUGGUAUGCGCCACCUUUCUGCCGAGGACGGGCUCCUGGGUUUAAUUAUCUGGGACCCGGAGUCGGCGUUGUCACUUUGAGUAAAUUAGGGUGUUUAAAGCAGGCUCAUGCUCUGAAUACACUAGCAUGGGAUGACACGAUAGGACUCCGGUCUAUCUUGUCGGUCUGUAGAGUGGAGUAAUGAUUAAGAGGGACAGUCGGGGGCAUUCGUAUUUCGUAGUCAGAGGUGAAAUUCUUGGAUUUACGGAAGACGAACUUCUGCGAAAGCAUUUGCCAAGGAUGUUUUCAUUGAUCAAGAACGAAAGUCGGGGGCUCGAAGACGAUUAGAUACCGUCGUAGUCUCGACCAUAAACA